rnacentral:rRNA from 1 species
GACGAACGCUGGCGGCGUGCUUAACACAUGCAAGUCGAACGGAAAGGCCCUGCUUUUGUGGGGUGCUCGAGUGGCGAACGGGUGAGUAACACGUGAGUAACCUGCCCUUGACUUUGGGAUAACUUCAGGAAACUGGGGCUAAUACCGGAUAGGAGCUCCUGCUGCAUGGUGGGGGUUGGAAAGUUUCGGCGGUUGGGGAUGGACUCGCGGCCUAUCAGCUUGUUGGUGGGGUAGUGGCUUACCAAGGCCUUGACGGGUAGCCGGCCUGAGAGGGUGACCGGCCACAUUGGGACUGAGAUACGGCCCAGACUCCUACGGGAGGCAGCAGUGGGGAAUAUUGCACAAUGGGCGGAAGCCUGAUGCAGCAACGCCGCGUGCGGGAUGACGGCCUUCGGGUUGUAAACCGCUUUCGCCUGUGACGAAGCGUGAGUGACGGUAAUGGGUAAAGAAGCACCGGCUAACUACGUG